rnacentral:misc_RNA from 1 species
GAUGAAGAACGCAGCGAAAUGCGAUACGUAAUGUGAAUUGCAGAAUUCAGUGAAUCAUCGAAUCUUUGAACGCAUAUUGCGCUCUCUGGUAUUCCGGAGAGCAUGCUUGUUUGAGUAUCAGUAAACACCUCAACUUCCAUAUCUUUUUUGAAAUGGGAGUUGGACUUGAGUGAUCCCAACGCUUUUCCUCACCGAAAAGUGGCGGGUUACUUGAAAUGCAGAUGCAGCUGGACUUUUCUCUGAGCUAUAAGCAUAUCUAUUUAGUCUGCCUAAAAAACAGAUUAUUACCUUUGCUGCAGCUAACAUAAAGGAGAUUAGUUCUUGUGCUGACUGAUGCAGGAUUCACAAAGACGGCUUCGGCCGACUUUGUAAACUCGAUCUCAAAUCAAGUAAGACUACCCGCUGAACUUAAGCAUAUCAAAAGCGGAGGA